UUGAAGCGGAGGUAAGACUUCGUGGAGGACCGAACCACCAGGGUUGAAAACCUGGGGGAUGACCUGUGGUUAGGGGUGAAAGGCCAAUCAAACUCCGUGAUAGCUGGUUCUCCCCGAAAUGCAUUUAGGUGCAGCGUCGUGUGUUUCUUGCCGGAGGUAGAGCACUGGAUAGGCGAUGGGCCCUACCGGGUUACUGACCUUAGCCAAAACUCCGAAUGCCGGUAAGUGAGAGCGCGGCAGUGAGACUGUGGGGGAUAAGCUCCAUGGUCGAGAGGGAAACAGCCCAGAGCAUCGACUAAGGCCCCUAAGCGUACGCUAAGUGGGAAAGGAUGUGGAGUCGCAGAGACAACCAGGAGGUUGGCUUAGAAGCAGCCACCCUUGAAAGAGUGCGUAAUAGCUCACUGGUCAAGUGAUUCCGCGCCGACAAUGUAGCGGGGCUCAAGCGUACCGCCGAAGUCGUGUCAUUGCAGCAUAAGCCCCAACGGGUGUUGUGAUGGGUAGGGGAGCGUCGUGUGCCGGGUGAAGCAGCCGCGGAAGCGAGUUGUGGACGGUUCACGAGUGAGAAUGCAGGCAUGAGUAGCGAUACACACGUGAGAAACGUGUGCGCCGAUUGACUAAGGGUUCCUGGGUCAAGCUGAUCUGCCCAGGGUAAGUCGGGACCUAAGGCGAGGCCGACAGGCGUAGUCGAUGGACAACCGGUUGAUAUUCCGGUACCCGCUUUGAAACGCCCAAUAUCGAGCCCAUCAAUGCUAAGGCCGUGAAGCCGCCCCGGAGCCUUCGGGCAAAGGGGAGUGGUGGAGCCGCCGACCCAAGGUGGUAGUAGGUAAGCGAUGGGGUGACGCAGGAAGGUAGUCCAGCCCGGGCGGUGGUUGUCCCGGGGUAAGGGUGUAGGGCGCUGUCUAGGCAAAUCCGGACGGCAUGAAGCCUGAGACCUGAUGCCGAGCCGAUUGUGGUGAAGUGGAUGAUCCUAUGCUGUCGAGAAAAGCCUCUAGCGAGUUUCAUGGCGGCCCGUACCCUAAACCGACUCAGGUGGUCAGGUAGAGAAUACCGAGGCGUUCGGGUGAACUAUGGUUAAGGAACUCGGCAAAAUGCCCCCGUAACUUCGGGAGAAGGGGGGCCACGCCUGGUGAUCGGACUUGCUCCGUGAGCUGGGGGUGGCCGCAGAGACCAGCGAGAAGCGACUGUUUACUAAAAACACAGGUCCGUGCGAAGCCGUAAGGCGAUGUAUACGGACUGACGCCUGCCCGGUGCUGGAACGUUAAGGGGACCGGUUAGCUCUGUUUCGACGGGGCGAAGCUGAGAACUUAAGCGCCAGUAAACGGCGGUGGUAACUAUAACCAUCCUAAGGUAGCGAAAUUCCUUGUCGGGUAAGUUCCGACCUGCACGAAUGGCGUAACGACUUCUCGACUGUCUCAACCAUAGGCCCGGUGAAAUUGCACUACGAGUAAAGAUGCUCGUUUCGCGCAGCAGGACGGAAAGACCCCGGGACCUUUACUACAGUUUGAUAUUGGUGUUCGGUUCGGCUUGUGUAGGAUAGGUGGGAGACCGUGAAGCCGUGACGCCAGUCAUGGUGGAGUCGCCGUUGAAAUACCACUCUGGUCGUGCUGGAUGUCUAACCUCGGUCCGUGAUCCGGAUCAGGGACAGUGUCUGAUGGGUAGUUUAACUGGGGCGGUUGCCUCCCAAAGGGUAACGGAGGCGCCCAAAGGUUCCCUCAGCCUGGUUGGCAAUCAGGUGUUGAGUGUAAGUGCACAAGGGAGCUUGACUGUGAGACCGACGGGUCGAGCAGGGACGAAAGUCGGGACUAGUGAUCCGGCGGUGGCUUGUGGAAGCGCCGUCGCUCAACGGAUAAAAGGUACCCCGGGGAUAACAGGCUGAUCUUCCCCAAGAGUCCAUAUCGACGGGAUGGUUUGGCACCUCGAUGUCGGCUCGUCGCAUCCUGGGGCUGGAGUCGGUCCCAAGGGUUGGGCUGUUCGCCCAUUAAAGCGGUACGCGAGCUGGGUUUAGAACGUCGUGAGACAGUUCGGUCCCUAUCCGCUGUGCGCGUAGGAAUAUUGAGAAGGGCUGUCCCUAGUACGAGAGGACCGGGACGGACGAACCUCUGGUGUGCCAGUUGUCCUGCCAAGGGCAUGGCUGGUUGGCUACGUUCGGGAGGGAUAACCGCUGAAAGCAUCUAAGCGGGAAGCCUGCUUCGAGAUGAGUAUUCCCACCUCCUUGAGAGGGUAAGGCUCCCAGUAGACGACUGGGUUGAUAGGCCGGAUGUGGAAGCCCCGUAAGGGGUGGAGCUGACCGGUACUAAUAGGCCGAGGGCUUGUCCUC
rnacentral:rRNA from 1 species